rnacentral:rRNA from 1 species
UACGUAGGGUGCAAGCGUUAUCCGGAAUUAUUGGGCGUAAAGAGCUUGUAGGCGGUCUGUCGCGUCUGCUGUGAAAAUCCGGGGCUCAACCCCGGACUUGCAGUGGGUACGGGCAGACUAGAGUGUGGUAGGGGAGACUGGAAUUCCUGGUGUAGCGGUGAAAUGCGCAGAUAUCAGGAGGAACACCGGUGGCGAAGGCGGGUCUCUGGGCAACAACUGACGCUGAGGAGCGAAAGCGUGGGGAGCGAACAGG